GGAUGGAUUUAGUCUGGUUGGACUUUCUCAGGAAAGGCAGCUGAACUCAUGACUAGUACCAGUUCCAUGGUUCCUGGAUGUUGCAAAUAAAGGCAUCCUCUCUCACUGCCUGUCCACCUUUCUUACCCAGUCAUUGUCCUCCAUGGUGCAGAGAGACAGUUCUACAGUGGUGUCUAUGGUUAAGUGCCAGGCAGUGAGAACCCAGGAGUGACAUUCAGAGGUACACAGGAUGACCAGCAGGUGUGUGCAGCUGUGCCAGUCUUGUUCACUAUGGGAUGGAAGAGGUCCCUGACCUGUGAGCCUAGAUGUUCAUCCACAGAGCUUGUAAUUCUGAUUGGUGCAACAGUCAGGAAGAGUGAAAGAUGUCAUCUCCCAAGGACAAGUGCUGUGCUAGUGGACACUGAGGAACUUCAGGGAUCAAACCCUUCCCCAUUCUUCUUCAGCCUCUCUUGUUCUUCGUUGAGAUGUUUCCUGAAGAUCUAAAAGAUCCAGGCAAUCCAUGACAUGGGUUUGAACAUAAUCUCGACAUUUUAUUCAUUGCCUGAUAACUAAGACUAGGAAUGGCUCUGCAUGUGGUCAACACACACUACCCUGGAAGACCAGAGAGUUCAAGGACGGCCAACUUUCACUUAAGCAAACUUUUUCACAGAGUGUGUGGGUCCCAUCAGCAGAGAGUAGCCUCCACAUUGCAAUGAUGUGCAAACUUCUGCCUUUCAGCCAUGAUGGACUUUAGGAUCUACCCUGAGGACCCUCCACAAGCCACAGGUGGGUGAUGUGUAAAUUGGGCAUGUUAUUGGGUCAGGUCUUCAGUGCAGUGCCUUAAGCUGACAGCCUUUUGGGAGGGCAUAUGCUUCUCUAUUAAAUGAACUGGUUCCACUGUU
rnacentral:sRNA from 1 species